GUGCCAGCCGCCGCGGUAAUACCGGCAGCUCAAGUGAUGUCCAAUAUUAUUGGGCCUAAAGCGUCCGUAGCUGGCUGCGCAAGUCCGUCGGGAAAUCCACUCGCCCAACGAGUGGGCGUCCGACGGAAACUGCACAGCUUGGGACCGGAAGGCUCGAAGGGUACGUUCGGGGUAGGAGUGAAAUCCCAUAAUCCCGCUCGGACCGCCGAUGGGGAAACCACCUCAGGAGAACGGAUCCGACAGUGAGGGACGAAAGCCAGGGUCUCGAACCGGAUUAGAUACCCUAGUAGUCC
rnacentral:rRNA from 1 species